AAUGCGCGAGACAGCGUGUCGCUAUAUAUAUAUAUAUAUAUAUAUAUAUAUAUAUAUAUAUAUAUAUAGCGACACGCUGUCUCGCGCAUU
rnacentral:pre_miRNA from 1 species